CCAGCAGCUGCGGUAAUUCCAGCUCCAAUAGCGUAUAUUAAAGUUGUUGCAGUUAAAAAGCUCGUAGUUGGAUUUCUGGGAGGGUGCCAAUGUCCGCCGACGUGCGUGUGCAGCGGCGCCCUUCCAUCCUUCUGUUAACGCCUCUUGGCAUUCAUUUGCUGGUGGCGGGCUCAGAUAUUUUACCUUGAGAAAAUUAGAGUGUUUCAGGCAGGCUAGGCCGGAAUACAUUAGCAUGGAAUAAUAGAAUAGGACUACGGUCUCUUUGUUGGUUUGAGGGACUGCAGUAAUGAUUAAUAGGGAUAGUUGGGGGCAUUAGUACUUAACUGUCAGAGGUGGAAUUCUCGGAUUUGUUAAAGACUAACUUAUGCGAAAGCAUUUGCCAAGGAUGUUUUCAUUAAUCAAGAACGAAAGU
rnacentral:rRNA from 1 species